ACUACGCUGGCGGCGUGCCUAAUACAUGCAAGUCGAACGGGAUUCUUUGAUCAGCUUGCUGAGAGAAGGAUCUAGUGGCGGACGGGUGAGUAACGCGUGGGAAUCUGCCUCUUACUGGGGGGAUAACAGUGGGAAACUACUGCUAAUACCGCAUAAGAUCUUCGGAUGAAAGGUGCAACUGCACCGGUAAGAGAUGAGCCCGCGUCCCAUUAGCUAGUUGGUGAGGUAAAGGCUCACCAAGGCGACGAUGGGUAGCCGGCCUGAGAGGGUGAACGGCCACACUGGGACUGAGACACGGCCCAGACUCCUACGGGAGGCAGCAGUAGGGAAUCUUCCGCAAUGGGCGCAAGCCUGACGGAGCGACGCCGCGUGAGUGAUGAAGGCCUUCGGGUCGUAAAGCUCUGUUCUUGAGGACGAAUAAGCCAGGGAGUGGAAAGCCCUGGUGAUGACUGUACUCAAGGAGAAAGCUCCGGCUAACUACGUG
rnacentral:rRNA from 1 species